rnacentral:tRNA from 1 species
UUUUCUUUAGUAUAAAAAGUAUAUUUAACUUCCAAUUAAAAGGUUAUAAAUAAAGAAAAA